GGGCGAUUAGCUCAGUGGUAGAGCGUCUGCCUUACAAGCAGAGGGUCACUGGUUCAAGUCCAGUAUCGCCCA
rnacentral:tRNA from 2 species